AUCACUUCUCGGCCUUUGGCUAAGAUCAAGUGUAGUAUCUGUUCUUAUCAGUUUAAAGUUGAAAUAUAACAACAGUUGGCUUUAAAUAUUAAAAAAUUUAAAAUCUCU
rnacentral:snRNA from 1 species